rnacentral:rRNA from 1 species
UAACACGAACCGUGCGAACGUUAUUCGGAAUCACUGGGCUUAAAGGGUGCGUAGGCGGCUUUGCAAGUGAGGUGUGAAAUCCCUCAGCUCAACUGAGGAACUGCGCUUCAAACUGCAUAGCUAGAGGGAGACAGAGGUAAGCGGAACUGAUGGUGGAGCGGUGAAAUGCGUUGAUAUCAUCAGGAACACCAGUGGCGAAGGCGGCUUACUGGGUCUCUUCUGACGCUGAGGCACGAAAGCUAGGGUAGCGAACGGGAUUAGACACCCCGGUAGUCCUAGCUGUAAACGAUGAGUACUGGAUCGGGGAACCUUCCACAGUUUCUCGGUCGUAGCGAAAGUGUUAAGUACUCCGCCUGGGGAGUAUGGUCGCAAGGCUG